rnacentral:rRNA from 1 species
CACGUAGGGGGCAAGCGUUGUCCGGAUUUAUUGGGCGUAAAGAGCUCGUAGGCGGCUCAGUAAGUCGGGUGUGAAACCUCCAGGCUCAACCUGGAGACGCCACUCGAUACUGCUGUGGCUUGAGUCCGGUAGGGGGAGCGUGGAAUUCCUGGUGUAGCGGUGAAAUGCGCAGAUAUCAGGAGGAACACCAGCGGCGAAGGCGGCGCUCUGGGCCGGAACUGACGCUGAGGAGCGAAAGCGUGGGUAGCAAACAGG